rnacentral:rRNA from 1 species
GACGAACGCUGGCGGCGUGCCUAACACAUGCAAGUCGAACGGGGUAAUGACUUCGGUUAUUACUUAGUGGCGAACGGGUGAGUAACGCGUGAGAAAUCUGCCUUUCAGUGGGGGACAACAGUUGGAAACGACUGCUAAUACCGCAUAACACAUUCGAGGGGCAUCCCUUGAAUGUCAAAGAUUUAUUGCUGAAAGAUGGCCUCGCGUCUGAUUAGCUAGUUGGUGGGGUAACGGCCCACCAAGGCGACGAUCAGUAGCCGGUCUGAGAGGAUGAACGGCCACAUUGGGACUGAGAUACGGCCCAGACUCCUACGGGAGGCAGCAGUGGGGAAUAUUGGGCAAUGGGGGAAACCCUGACCCAGCAACGCCGCGUGAAGGAAGGAGGCCUUCGGGUUGGUAAACGUUACUUUUACCUAGGACGAAGAACGUAGACGGU